GAUGAACGCUGGCGGCGUGCUUAACACAUGCCAGUCGAACGGAAAGGCUCCUGCUUGCAGGGGUACUCGAGUGGCGAACGGGUGAGUAACACGUGGGUGAUCUGCCCUGCACUUCGGGAUAAGCCUGGGAAACUGGGUCUAAUACCGGAUAGGACGAUGGUUUGGAUGCCAUUGUGGAAAGUUUUUCGGUGUGGGAUGAGCUCGCGGCCUAUCAGCUUGUUGGUGGGGUAAUGGCCUACCAAGGCGUCGACGGGUAGCCGGCCUGAGAGGGUGUACGGCCACAAUGGGACUGAGAUACGGCCCAGACGCCUACGGGGGGCAGCAGUGGGGAAUAUUGCACAAUGGGCGCAAGCCUGAUGCAGCGACGCCGCGUGGGGGAUGACGGCCUUCGGGUUGUAAACUCCUUUCGCUAGGGACGAAGCGCAAGUGACGGUACCUGGAGAAGAAGCACCGGCUAACUACGUG
rnacentral:rRNA from 1 species